CUUGGUCAUUUAGAGGAAGUAAAAGUCGUAACAAGGUUUUGCUAAGCAACAGUCCUUCUGUAGCAGAGCUUAACGGAGACCUUGCACCCGAGAGGGGGGAGGCGACUAUAAACAAGCUUCCGGCGCAAGUCAGCCCUGCUGGCAACACAAUCGAAUUGCGGGGACGCUUUAAAGCCCACCGGUACCAACGGCUCCCUCAGGGGCCGGGCGAGCACAGCUCGAGGUCACAACCCGGUGAGAUGGAGCAAUAAGCAAUCCGCAGCGGCGUAGCCGUCCACAGACUAAGUGGUUGUGGGUAGGAGAACCCUAUCUAAGAUAUAGUCGGGCCCGAGGAGAGAUCCCCGGGGCUUCUGCGUCCGUAGGUGAACCUGCGGAAGGAUCAUUAAUAAGGAUACCGGGCAACCGGUAACCCCACCCGUGUCUACCUACUCUUGUUGCUUUGGCAGGCCGUGGUCUCCACGGCGGGCUCUGCCCGCUCGCGCCUGCCAGAGGACCAAACUCUGAAUGUUAGUGAUGUCUGAGUACUAUAUAAUAGUUAAAACUUUCAACAACGGAUCUCUUGGUUCUGGCAUCGAUGAAGAACGCAGCGAAAUGCGAUAAGUAAUGUGAAUUGCAGAAUUCAGUGAAUCAUCGAAUCUUUGAACGCACAUUGCGCCCGGUGGUAUUCCGCCGGGCAUGCCUGUUCGAGCGUCAUUAUAACCACUCAAGCCUGGCUUGGUAUUGGGGUACGCGGUUCCGCGGCCCCUAAAAUCAGUGGCGGUGCCGGUUGGCUCUAAGCGUAGUAAUACUCCUCGCUACAGACCCCUCCCGGUUCCCUGCCAGAACCCCCCAUUUUUACAGGUUGACCUCGGAUCAGGUAGGGAUACCCGCUGAACUUAAGCAUAUCAAUAAGCGGAGGA
rnacentral:rRNA from 1 species